CCUACGGGUGGCAGCAGUGGGGAAUAUUGGGCAAUGGGCGCAAGCCUGACCCAGCAACGCCGCGUGAAGGAAGAAGGCUUUCGGGUUGUAAACUUCUUUUCUCAGGGACGAAGCAAGUGACGGUACCUGAGGAAUAAGCCACGGCUAACUACGUGCCAGCAGCCGCGGUAAUACGUAGGUGGCAAGCGUUAUCCGGAUUUACUGGGUGUAAAGGUCGUGUAGGCGGGGACGCAAGUCAGAUGUGAAAACUCAGGGCUCAACCCUUGGACUGCAUUUGAAACUGUGUGUCUUGAGUGCUGGAGAGGCAAGUGGAAUUGCGGGGGUAGCGGUGAAAUGCGUAGAUAUACGGAGGAACACCAGUGGCGAAGGCGGAUUGCUGGACAGUAACUGACGCUGAGGCGCGAAAGCGUGGGGAGCAAACAGGAUUAGAUACCCCAGUAGUC
rnacentral:rRNA from 1 species